rfam:Kluyvera intestini strain GT-16 tig00000000, whole genome shotgun sequence.
GUGCAGUUCAAAUUUUCCCGACUGCGCCCUUGAUAAAAAAUAGAUAACUUUACGGCGCAGCCACGAUUUCCCCGGUGUUGGCGCAGUAUUCGCGCACCCCGGUUAAUCC